CUUCACCGAACCCAGCCACAGCGGGUCUCCGCCCGCGCGCUCCCGCCCGUACGUGGCCUGCAACGCCUGGGCCUC
rnacentral:antisense_RNA from 1 species